UACGUAGGGUGCAAGCGUUGUCCGGAAUCAUUGGGCGUAAAGCGCGUGUAGGCGGUUCAGUAAGUCUGCUGUGAAAGUCCAGGGCUCAACCCUGGGAUGCCGGUGGAUACUGCUGGACUAGAGUGCGGAAGAGGCGAGUGGAAUUCCCGGUGUAGCGGUGAAAUGCGCAGAUAUCGGGAGGAACACCAAUUGCGAAGGCAGCUCGCUGGGACGUUACUGACGCUGAGACGCGAAAGCGUGGGGAGCAAACAGG
rnacentral:rRNA from 1 species